rnacentral:rRNA from 1 species
CAGCAGUAGCCGCGGGAAUACGUAGGUGGCAAGCGUUGUCCGGAAUUAUUGGGCGUAAAGCGCGCGCAGGCGGAUAGGUCAGUCUGUCUUAAAAGUUCGGGGCUUAACCCCGUGAUGGGAUGGAAACUGCCAAUCUAGAGUAUCGGAGAGGAAAGUGGAAUUCCUAGUGUAGCGGUGAAAUGCGUAGAUAUUAGGAAGAACACCAGUGGCGAAGGCGACUUUCUGGACGAAAACUGACGCUGAGGCGCGAAAGCCAGGGGAGCGAACGGGAUUAGAUACCCGCGUAGUCCCUGUCUCUUAUACA